CCUAAACAGAUGAGGGUGAUGACAACUACUGACCUCACCACCUUUGUGAGAUGUGUUAUUUACACUGAAUGUGCUUUGCUGCUGUCAGAGUCAGAGAAUCCUACCGAGUCUUCUGUGCUGCAAGCUCCUGUACAACAGUCCAAUGAUGACGUCUGUGCUGUGGUAUUUGGUGUCAGUGCUGGCAUUUUGCACCACGAGCCUAGUUUGUGCUUUUGGGAUCAGCGCCGACAAGACUUCCUAUUACGCAUUCAAAGGAUCGAGCGUCAUUCUUGACUGCAAGUCCACACGUCCCUCUGGCUUCUUAAAGUGCUCGGCAGUUGAUUGGGAAUUUCUAAUUCCAAAAUAUUUUUAUUGAUGGAUGACGGCCAAAUGUAUGUUGAGCACAAACCUUUGAAGGACAGGGUUAAGUUCACUUCCCCCAACCCUUGUGAUGGAGAUGCUUCCAUAAGGAUCACCGACCUGCGUAUGUCAGACACGGGGAAGUACGUGUGCAACUUGAGAGAGAAUGCUCGAUAUUUGUGGAAAAACAUGACCCUGACAGUCAUGUAGGAGCUGAGCACACCGGUAUGUGCCGUGCAAGGAGAGCCUGUGGCAGGUAAUGUUGUGACGCUCCAAUGCACAUCCUCACAAGGCACACCCCCGCUGAAGUACAGCUGGACAAAGACGAGUGUAAACCAGAUGUUACCUCCUAACUCCGGGGUCGGCAACCCGCGGCUCUAGAGCCGCAUGCGGCUCUUUAGCGCCGCCCUACUGGCUCUCUGGAGAUUUUUCAAAAAUGUAUGAAGAAUGGAAAAAGAUGAGGGGAAAAAAUCUAUUUUUUUGUUUUAGUAUGGUUUCUGUAGGAGGACAAACAUGACACAAACCUCCCUAAUUGUUAUAAAGCACACUGUUUAUAUUAAACAUGCUUCACUGAUUCGAGUAUUUGGCGAGCGCCGUUUUGUCCUACUUAUUUUGGCGGUCCUUGAACUCACCGUAUAGUUUGUUUACAUGUAUUGAUUGAUAUAACUUUCUCCGACUUUCUAGGACGUGUUUUAUGCCACUUUUUCUGUCUCAUUUUGUCCACCAAACUUUUAACGUGGUGCGUGAAUGCACAAAGGUGAGUUUUGUUGAUGUUAUUGACUUGUGUGGAGUGCUAAUCAGACAUAUUUGGUCACUGCAUGACUGCAAGCUAAUCGAUGCUAACAUGCUAUUUAGGCUAGCGAUGUGUACAUAUUGCAUCAUUAUGCCUCAUUUGUAGCUAUAUUUGAGGUCAUUUAGUUUCCUUUAAGUCCUCUUAAUUACAUUUAUAUCAUGACACAUGUAAUAUGGCUUUUAAUUUUUUGCGGCUCCAGACAGAUUUGUUUUUGUAUUUUUGGUCCAAUAUGGCUCUUUCAACAUUUUGGGUUGCCGACCCCUGUCCUAACUCCACCGAGGAUACCUCAGGAGGUACCUUGUUGGUCAACAGGCUCUCAGAAGACUACUGCGGAAGUUAUCUCUGCACGGUGGAAAGUCUGAAUGAUACCAAACACUGUGAGAUCCUACUUGAGUGUCCAUCCUCACCUCCGACCACAAGCGAUGCAACCAAACACAAUGAGGUCCUACCAAUGAGUCUAUGGUCACCAUUAGAGACGAGCAAUGGAAAUCAAGUAGUCAUAGCAGUGGCAGUGACUAUCAUUGUUCUCCUAUCUCUGGCCAUUGUCUUCGCUCUCAGUCAUUUGGGUGUUGCGCAAAAUAAAUGGUGGCAAGGUUGCUAUAAAAACGCCAUUUAGUGGCGUCCCCUCUUCAAAGUGGUCUUUCGGUGAGGGACAAGCUGUAUGAAACGGAGAUUACAUUAUUGUGUACUAAUUAGUACAAUACAACUUUAAAAAACAUUGUGUGUGCUGCGUUGAUAGUAUCAUAGUACAGCACACACAAAGAUCGUAACUGCUCAAUAUCUGAUGUUUUGUCUUUGUGUUCUUUUAAAUAUUAAUAAAAUAUACUAUAUUGCCAAAAGUAUUUGGCCACCUGCCUUGACUCACAUAUGAGAAGUGCCAUCCCAUUCCUAACCCAUAGGGUUCAAUAUGAUGUCGGUCCACCUUUUGCAGCUAUUACAGCUUCAACUCUUCUGGGAAGGCUGUCCACAAGGUUGCGGAGUGUGUUUUUAGGAAUUUUCCACCAUUCUUCCAAAAGCGCAUUGGUAAGGUCACACACUGAUGUCGGUGGAGAAGGCCUGGCUCUCAGUCUCCGUUCUAAUUCAUCCCAAAGGUGUUCUAUCGGGUUCAGGUCAGGUCAGAACUCUGUACAGGCCAGUCAAGUUCAUCCACACCAGACUCUUGUCAUCCAUGUCUUUAUGGACCUUGCUUUGUGCACUGGUGCACAGUCAUGUUGGAAGAGGAAGGGCCCCGCUCCAAACUGUUCCCACAAGGUUGGGAGCAUGGAAUUGUCCAAAAUGUUUUGGUAUCCUGGAGCAUUCAAAGUUCCUUUCACUGGAACUAAGGGGCCAAGCCCAACUCCUGAAAAACAACCCCACACCAUAAUUUCUCCACCAAAUUUCACACUCUGCACAAUGCGGUCCAAAAUGUAGCGUUCUCCUGGCAACCUCCAAACCCAGACUCGUCCAUCAGAUUGACAGAUAGAAAAGCGUGAUUCAUCACUUCAGAGAAAACGUCUCCACUGCUCGAGUCCAGUGGCGACGUGCUUUACACCACUGCAUCCCACGCUUUGCAUUGGAUUUGGUGAUGUACGGCUUAGAUGCAGCUGCUCGGCCAUGGGAAACCCAUUCCAUGAAGCUCUCUGCGUACUUUACGUGGGCUAAGUGGAAGGUCGCAUGAAGUUUGGAGCUCUGUAGCAACUGACUGUGCAGAAAGUCUUUGAACUGUGCAGAAAGUCUUUGGACUGUGCAGAAAGUCUUUGGACUAUGCGCUUCAGCACCCGCUGACCCCUCUCUGUCAGUUUACACAUGGCCUACCACUUGGUGGCUGAGUUGCUGUUGUUCCCAAACUCUUCCAUUUUCUUAUAAUAAAGCCCACAGUUGACUUUGGAAUAUUUAGGAGCGAGGAAAUUUCACGACUGGUUUUGUUGCACAGGUGGCAUCCUAUGACAGUUCCACGCUGGAAAUCACUGAGAGCGGCCCAUUCUUUCACAAAUGUUUGCAGAAACAGUCUCCGUGCCUGAGUGCUUGAUUUUAUACACCUGUGAUUAGGACACCUGUUUCUGAUCAUUUGGAUGAGUGGCCAAAUACUUAUGGCAAUAUAGUGUAUUUGUGUGUACCAGCUUUAAGGUAGACCAGGAAUGUCAAACGUACGGCCCGAGAGAUGAGUUUGCAAAGUAAAAAACACUUAGUGAUAGUAUAAGAAAUGUGGAUUGUUACGUUCAUGCCUUGAUUGUCAAAGAUGAUGCUGGUAACGUCGUUUAUACUCAAAUAAAUGCUUUUGAUAAAUCUGUACAUUUUGUGUUGUACUAAUG